GUUGAAAGACGUUGUUGCAGUAGGAACAAACUACCAAACAAGAAGGGUGGCUAGACAGUUUGGUGUAACUACUGUUGAUUUGAAUGAUGUUAGUGGUGUUGACGUUGCCUUUGAUAUUGUGGAUGAAGUGGACAUCAAUAAAAACCUAUUAAAGGUUGGUGGAGCUAACCAUACAGUGCAGAAGGUGGGUAAAGACUAUUUGGAUUGUUCGGCAGCAUAUGAUAUUAGUUUUUUUGUUUUUUUGUUUUUUUUUUAGAAAAGAUGCAGGAUUUAAGCAGCGCUGUAAAAAUAUAGAA